UACGUAGGGUGCAAGCGUUGUCCGGAAUUAUUGGGCGUAAAGAGCUCGUAGGCGGUUUGUCGCGUCUGCCGUGAAAGUCCGGGGCUCAACUCCGGAUCUGCGGUGGGUACGGGCAGACUAGAGUGCAGUAGGGGAGACUGGAAUUCCUGGUGUAGCGGUGAAAUGCGCAGAUAUCAGGAGGAACACCGAUGGCGAAAGCGAGGUCCUGGACGCCUACUGACGCUGAGACGCGAAAGCCAGGGGAGCGAACGGG
rnacentral:rRNA from 1 species